AUUGAACGCUGGCGGCAUGCCUUACACAUGCAAGUCGAACGGUAACGCGGGGCAACCUGGCGACGAGUGGCGAACGGGUGAGUAAUGUAUCGGAACGUGCCCAGUUGUGGGGGAUAACUGCUCGAAAGAGCAGCUAAUACCGCAUACGACCUGAGGGUGAAAGCGGGGGAUCGCAAGACCUCGCGCAAUUGGAGCGGCCGAUAUCAGAUUAGGUAGUUGGUGGGGUAAAGGCUCACCAAGCCAACGAUCUGUAGCUGGUCUGAGAGGACGACCAGCCACACUGGGACUGAGACACGGCCCAGACUCCUACGGGAGGCAGAAGGGGGGAAUUUUGGACAAUGGACGAAAGUCUGAUCCAGCCAUGCCGCGUGCGGGAAGAGGGCCUUCGGGUUGUAAACCGCUUUUGUCAGGGAAGAAACGCUCUGGGUUAAUACCUCGGGGUAAUGACGGUACCUGAAGAAUAAGCACCGGCUAACUACGUGCCAGCAGCCGCCGUAAUAC
rnacentral:rRNA from 1 species